rnacentral:rRNA from 1 species
AGGUCGUUUCUGCUCACUGAUUUAAAUAUUAAAGGGCCGCAGUAAUUUGACUGUGCAAAGGUAGCAUAAUAAAUAGUUUUUUAAUUGAAAACUGGAAUGAAUGAAUUGAUGAAAAAUUGACUUUCUUUAAUUUUAGAUUAGAAUUUUGAUUUUGAAUAAAAAUUUUCAAAUUUUAUUAAAAGACGAGAAGACCCUAUAGAUUUUUAUUUUUAAUUAUAAAAUUUAGAUUAUAUUUUUUGUAUUUAUAGGUUUUUUAAUAAGAAUUUUAUUGGGGUGAUAUAAUGAGAUUAAAAUCUUUUUAAAAAUUUUGUUUAGUUAUAUUUAUUUUUUGGAUCCUUUUUUUGGAUUAUUAGAUUAAAUUACCUUAGGGAUAACAGCAUAAUUUUAUUGGAAAGUUCAUAUUAAUAAUAAAGAUUGUGACCUCGAUGUUGAAUUAAGAUGAAAGGUGGAGGCAGAAGUUCAUUUUUUUUAGUCUGUUCGACUAUUAAAAUCU